GGCCUUAAGAACAAAACAUGUGUAUUGACAGCAUGUGAUGGUCUUUAAAAUGCAGCAGUCCUUUGUUGACUCAUCUUAUCUGGUCUUUUUAUCAUCUUCAAUGAGACAAACUGCAGCAUUACGGGAACAUUGUGUUCUCUGGAAUUUCUUUCUGUAUUCAUUUGUUGGUGAACAAAGUAACAGAACAUGUUAAACAGAGGACAAACAAGAAAGUAAUCACAUAUUGAAACAACAUCCGUCUCCUAGGCUUCUGCUGUAGCUGUUUAAACACUGACUCCCAUUAUGAGCUCAACGCUUUGUCAAACAUUUAGUAACAAUUGCAAUUUUAAAGAGUGAAUAUAGAUUAUAAAUACAGUAUGACAUCCAAAGACACUGCACAAAUCUCACAAGCACUGUUAGUGAAGGCGUAUUCAAACAGACAUUAAAAGGAUUCAGAGUGAUGGAGCUGAAGUUGUGGUUUUCCUUUCUGCUGUUAAAUGUGAUCCAUGAUGUCCAGUCCCAAUCUGCCAGCCAAUGGAUAGCAAACAUGCCGACAAAUAUUCCUGUCCUGCAGGGCUCCUGUGUGGUUAUUCCCUGCAUCUACACUUACCCCAAGCCCGUAUCAAAGCGGAUCCUGACCAGGUGGAAAGGUUUCUGGAUGAAAGGGAAAACUAUCGUCUCAACCAAUAUCCCCAAAUGGAAACUGACUGAGGAGUACAAAAAAACGAACCCAGUUUGUAGGAAAACUGCAGGGACGCAACUGCACCAUGCUGCUGGAUGCUGUCAGGCCAACCGAUGUUGGCCCUUUCUACUUCAGGAUUGAAAUGCCACAAUACAAAAGCUUCUCCUACCCAAACACAGUGACCAUUGAUGUUCAAAGCAACCCAGAGCCUCCAACUAUGUCUGUGAGGGUAUAUGAAAAAAUAACUGCCUCCUGCUCUGUGUCUCACUCCUGCCCAACGAUUCUCCCUCGAUUCUCCUGGAGCCAUCCUGGAAGCGUCUCUAGCCGAUCAAAGAAGCUGAAUACAUGGCAGUGGGAAACAGAGUCAACCCUGACCUUUGUCCCUCAAACCACCGACUCCAACAUGCCUUUAAGCUGCACAGUGCUGUACAGAGGAGGGAAGCGGGCGACGAGCUCCAUGAUUAUCUCCACAUGACGUGAGCUCAGUGCAUGACCUAAAUAUCACCUUUUGUUCUGCACGGUAAAUGAAUUAAUGUCCCAUUUAUCAAGACAUUUUAAAUCUAUAGUUCAAUGUUUAUGUUUCAUAUUGUUUAAUAUGUUUGUUAGUUUAUGUAUGCACCAAUCGCCAAGGCAAAAUUCCACGUGAAAUUUAUUGUGGCAAUAAACCCUGUUCCUAUUUUCUGAUUUCCGAUAAUGCCUUACAACUGCUACAUUUGUACAAGUUUACUCCCCAUACAGAUGUUGAUAAGUGAAAGGGAAAUGUAUGUCUACACUGGGAAUUAUGAAACACAAUCAGUUAGUUAAUUAAUUAACAUGUCACUGCACACUGUAAUGUAAUUUGAAGGAGCAGAAAUGACUCUCAUGAUCAGUUUUUUACCAGCGCACAUCUGAUGGGUUUACUUCAGAAAUACUUUACUGUUGGUUUAAGCCUUCUGUCAAUAUGAUUUAUUGUGUCUAAUUAACAUUAAAUAUCAUUUCAAUGUCA